GGCCGGGCCUCCAUCCCGGGACCAUCAUCAUGCCCUGGAGCAGCACGCGCGGGCCACGCCGCGGCGCCGAGGCAGCUCGUCACAGCUGAUUGAGCACGACGCCGAAGAAUUGCGAACAGAACAGCCGCCAAAAACCAGGUGCGUUCGCGUCACCAGCCCCGGCCCCGGGACUUUGUCUCAGUUGUGCCAAGCCCCCCAAAGCUCCGAAAAAUCUCUACCAGCGUCGCACGGGCCAAAAGCUAUCGCCCAUUAACACGAACAGAGGCGACGGCAAAUGAUCGCAUGGAAAGUGUAAAGGAAUGAAUAAACUUACAAAGCAUUCCUCA